CUGGACCCGCAGGCCCUGCAGGACAGAGACUGGCAGCGCACCAUCAUCUCCAUGAAUGUGAUCGAAGUAAAGCUCUCGGUCAAGUUCAACAGCAGGGAGUUCAGCUUGAAGAGGAUGCCAUCCCAGAAACAGACAGGGGUCUUCAGAGUCAAGAUUGCUGUGGUCACCAAGAGAGAGAGGUCCAAGGUGCCCUACAUCGUGCGCCAGUGCGUGGAGGAGAUCGAGCGCCGAGGCAUGGAGGAGGUGGGCAUCUACCGCGUGUCCGGCCAGUGUGGCCGCAGACAUCCAGGCACUGAAGGCAGCCUUCGACGCCAGUGAGUGUCGGCCUGCGCAGGACGGGAUGGAGGUGUGGGCAGUGGUGUCCGCAAUGAGAUCUCAGAGUGCUCCAUGGCCCAGGCAUGUCACAUCCUUCUCUGUGUCUUUUCUUCAUUUACUGUUUUAUUAUUUUAAAAAAGAGAAAACAAGAGUUGUACAAACAGCUUCCAUAGAAGCCAGUUUUUACACCAUCGUACCCACUCAUGCCACUUGGUGGAGUGGACCAGGGGCUUCUGUGGGGACUUGGCCUUCCUGCCUUGGGGGGGACAGGAGGUGGAAGCCCAGGACUCAGUGCGGUCUGUCCACUGCCCUGUAUGAGGAUGUGGUGGGCAGAGGGCACUGAUGAAAUUCAGCGCAGGCUGGGGCUGCAGCAUCUCCGCCUCCAUCUCACCAACCCUCACAGGCUUUGAAGGACCCAGACCUGCCUCAAAUGCCAGGGGAGGGCACUGAGACCCCAGAGGGUCCUUCCCAGCAUCUUCAAAGCAACAGGAUUUUGUGCCUGCAGACCCUUCUUUGGGGCACACACCACCCACCCUGACCAGGACCCCUAGAAUGCCCAGCAUCCCUGGGAGGGCCCUGUGGUAGUUUCAGCUCCCUCUGGGGGUCCAGAAUGAA
rnacentral:sRNA from 1 species